ACGAACGCUGGCGGCAGGCCUAACACCUGCAAGUCGAGCGCCCUUUCGGGGGAGCGGCGGACGGGUGAGUAACGCGUGGGAAUAUGCCCUUCUCUACGGAAUAGCCUCGGGAAACUGAGAGUAAUACCGUAUACGCCCUGUGGGGGAAAGAUUUAUCGGGGAAGGAUUAGCCCGCGUUGGAUUAGGUAGUUGGUGGGGUAAUGGCCUACCAAGCCGACGAUCCAUAGCUGGUUUGAGAGGAUGAUCAGCCACACUGGGACUGAGACACGGCCCAGACUCCUACGGGAGGCAGCAGUGGGGAAUCUUAGACAAUGGGGGCAACCCUGAUCUAGCCAUGCCGCGUGAGUGAUGAAGGCCUUAGGGUUGUAAAGCUCUUUCAGCUGGGAAGAUAAUGACGGUACCAGCAGAAGAAGCCCCGGCUAACUCCGUG
rnacentral:rRNA from 1 species